rnacentral:rRNA from 1 species
GACAGAGGCCUCAAGCGUUAGGCGGAAUCACUGGGCUUAAAGCGUGUGUAGGCGGGUCGUUAAGUACCUUGUGAAAUCCCACGGCUCACCCGUGGAACUGCUGGGUAUACUGGCGAUCUUGAGUCCGGGAGAGGUGAGUGGAACUGCGAGUGUAGAGGUGAAAUUCAUAGAUAUUCGCAAGAACACCAGUGGCGAAGGCGGCUCACUGGCCCGGAACUGACGCGUGGAGAACGCGAAAGCGUGGGGAGCAAACAGG